rnacentral:rRNA from 1 species
GACGAACGCUGGCGGCGUGCCUAACACAUGCAAGUCGAACGGAAAGGCCCUGCUUUUGUGGGGUGCUCGAGUGGCGAACGGGUGAGUAACACGUGAGUAACCUGCCCUUGACUUUGGGAUAACUUCAGGAAACUGGGGCUAAUACCGGAUAGGAGCUCCUGCCGCAUGGUGGGGGUUGGAAAGUUUCGGCGGUUGGGGAUGGACUCGCGGCUUAUCAGCUUGUUGGUGGGGUAGUGGCUUACCAAGGCUUUGACGGGUAGCCGGCCUGAGAGGGUGACCGGCCACAUUGGGACUGAGAUACGGCCCAGACUCCUACGGGAGGCAGCAGUGGGGAAUAUUGCACAAUGGGCGGAAGCCUGAUGCAGCAACGCCGCGUGCGGGAUGACGGCCUUCGGGUUGUAAACCGCUUUCGCCUGUGACGAAGCGUGAGUGACGGUAAUGGGUAAAGAAGCACCGGCUAACUACGUG